rnacentral:rRNA from 1 species
UUUCCUGUAGGUGAACCUGCGGCAAGUUCAUUA